rnacentral:misc_RNA from 1 species
GGGUGAUGGGAAGUACUCUGUGUUCUUCAGGGGAACAAGGGACCAGCUGGAAUUUGAGGAAUCUCAGAUACGGAUCCAUCGUGAAUGGGCCAACGGUAAGUGGACCCCAUCAUUUGGGGACGAAGGAGAAGAAAAGCAAGAUGAGAAGGAACUUGUAUCUACUGAAACGAAACCCAACAACAAAGCUGCAGAAUUUUUUAGCAAAGGGUCAUUAGUCGAAGUCAGCAGUGAUGAAGAAGGUUUUGAGGGUGCUUGGUUUGUUGCAACUAUUGUUAAGCUUUUAGAUAAUGGUAACUACCUGAUAGAGUAUCAGAACUUAAGAAACAAUGAUGAUACAGCAUUUUUGCAAGAAGAAACUGAUCGUUUGCAUAUACGACCUAGUCCACCUGAUGUUGGAUCUUUUGAAAGCUUCAAAGUCCUUGAAGAAGUUGAUGCUCUGCACAAUGAUGGCUGGUGGGUGGGUGUGAUUUCUAAAGUACUUAAAGGCCAGAGAUACAAGGUUUACUUUAAGGCAAGCAACGAGGAGUUGGAGUUUAAGCAUGCUGAUGUAAGGCUGCAUCUGGACUGGACCAAUGGCAAAUGGGUCAGAGCUUCCCAGGCAUUAAAGUUGUGAUCUUCGAGAAAUUGCUAUGUUGGUAGAUCUGCAAUCAGGAUUCGUGGUGUAGCUUCUUAAUGGUUUAACGUAUAAUGUGGUCUGCUCAGGAUUGUAACAUAUAUUAGAAAGAGUUAUUAGUUGGAUUAGAAAGAUUGUGGCCUAUCAAGAAUUUGAAAAUGAACCAACCCUGUACUCCUUUAGAGAAGCCUUAAAGGUGUGUCAAUAUUGUUGUGCUAAGUUAAAUUGUGUGUAGACUGCUCUAGUGGAAUCCAAGCCGUUGUUGUCAACUUCAAGAUUCAUGCACUUGUAUAAAUUUAUACUUCUUUUGUUCUUAAUUUUCGUAAUGUUAUGGGGCGG